rnacentral:rRNA from 1 species
GGAAAAGAAACCAACCGGGAUUGCCUUAGUAACGGCGAGUGAAGCGGCAAAAGCUCAAAUUUGAAAUCUGGUACCUUCGGUGCCCGAGUUGUAAUUUGGAGAGGGCAACUUUGGGGCCGUUCCUUGUCUAUGUUCCUUGGAACAGGACGUCAUAGAGGGUGAGAAUCCCGUGUGGCGAGGAGUGCGGUUCUUUGUAAAGUGCCUUCGAAGAGUCGAGUUGUUUGGGAAUGCAGCUCUAAGUGGGUGGUAAAUUCCAUCUAAAGCUAAAUAUUGGCGAGAGACCGAUAGCGAACAAGUACAGUGAUGGAAAGAUGAAAAGAACUUUGAAAAGAGAGUGAAAAAGUACGUGAAAUUGUUGAAAGGGAAGGGCAUUUGAUCAGACAUGGUGUUUUGUGCCCUCUGCUCCUUGUGGGUAGGGGAAUCUCGCAUUUCACUGGGCCAGCAUCAGUUUUGGUGGCAGGAUAAAUCCAUAGGAAUGUAGCUUGCCUCGGUAAGUAUUAUAGCCUGUGGGAAUACUGCCAGCUGGGACUGAGGACUGCGACGUAAGUCAAGGAUGCUGGCAUAAUGGUUAUAUGCCGCCCG